GAUGAACGCUAGCGGCAGGCUUAAUACAUGCAAGUCGUGGGGCAGCAUGAGUGUAGCAAUAUAUUUGAUGGCGACCGGCAAACGGGUGCGGAACACGUACAGAACCCUCCUUCAAGCGGGGCAUAGCCCAGAGAAACUUGGAUUAAUACCCCAUAACAUAAUGAAGAGGCAUCUCUUUGUUAUUAAAGAUUUAUCACUUGAAGAUGGCUGUGCGGCUGAUUAGGUAGUUGGCGGGGUAACGGCCCACCAAGCCUGCGAUCAGUAACUGGUGUGAGAGCACGACCAGUCACACGGGCACUGAGACACGGGCCCGACUCCUACGGGAGGCAGCAGUAAGGAAUAUUGGUCAAUGGACGCAAGUCUGAACCAGCCAUGCCGCGUGGAGGAUGAAGGUCCUCUGGAUUGUAAACUUCUUUUAUAUGGGACGAAAAAAGGCUUUUCUAAGUCGUCUGACGGUACCAUAUGAAUAAGCACCGGCUAACUCCGUGCCAGCCGCCGCAGUAACAC
rnacentral:rRNA from 1 species